rnacentral:tRNA from 1 species
GGAGAGGUGGCAGAGUGGUCGAAUGCGCUGGAUUGCUAAUCCAGUGAACCUGCUUUCGGGUUCCGAGGGUUCAAAUCCCUCCCUCUCCG